GACAGAGGGGGCAAGCGUUGCUCGGAAUUACUGGGCGUAAAGGGCGCGUAGGCGGAAUGGCAAGUCGGUCGUGAAAUCCUUCGGCUCAACCGAAGAACGUCGAUCGAAACUGCCGUUCUUGAGGAUUGCAGAGGAGACUGGAAUUCCCGGUGUAGCGGUGAAAUGUGUAGAGAUCGGGAGGAACACCGGUGGCGAAGGCGGGGCUCUGGGCAAUUCCUGACGCUGAGGCGCGAAAGCGUGGGGAGCAAACGGG
rnacentral:rRNA from 1 species